rnacentral:rRNA from 1 species
UACGUAGGGGGCUAGCGUUGUCCGGAAUCAUUGGGCGUAAAGAGCGUGUAGGCGGUCCGGCAAGUCCGCUGUGAAAGUCGGGGGCUCAACCCUCGAAUGCCGGUGGAUACUGUCGGGCUAGAGUGCGGAAGAGGCGAGUGGAAUUCCUGGUGUAGCGGUGAAAUGCGCAGAUAUCAGGAGGAACACCUAUUGCGAAGGCAGCUCGCUGGGACGUUACUGACGCUGAGACGCGAAAGCGUGGGGAGCAAACAGG